CAUGGCUCCUCUUCAGCUUUUGUAGAUAGAUUCCAAUCUCUGGAAAUUAACAACUUAGAGUCACAGAUUAUUUAUGAAAUACCUGUGAGCCAUUACUUGAACUAGAUGUUUCUGCAUAGACUGUUUUUCACUUAACCCUGAGAACAACUUUGUGAAGUCAUGAGGAGGACUUCCGGAAAUGGCUAAAGCAGCAUGAACAAUGGGCCCUAAGUUCUCCACGUGACCGCUCCACUUUCAACUUCUCACCUGCUGUUUGAGAACUUCCAUUUCUGUUCUCAUCUCCUCAUGGCUGC